UUUUACAUCAGAACUUUUGACCGGGUGGACCGAUUUCGACAAAUUUUGUUUUAAUCGAAAGGUGGUGUGUGUCAAUUGGUCCCAUUUAAAUUUAUUUGAGAUCUAACAACUACUUUUCGAGUUAUAUCUAAUAAUGCGUUUUUACUUGACGCUUUUUUCGUCGACCUACGUUGUAUUACACCGCAUAACUUUCUACUGGAUGUACCGAUUUUGAUAAUUCUUUUUUUGUUGGAAAGGGGAUAUUUCUAGUUUGGUACCAUGAUAAGGAAACCAGGAUCUGAUGAUGGAAU
rnacentral:misc_RNA from 1 species